rnacentral:rRNA from 1 species
AGAGUUUGAUCAUGGCUCAGAAUGAACGCUGGCGGCAGGCCUGACACAUGCAAGUCGAACGUGGUAGCAAUACCUAGUGGCGGACGGGUGAGUAACACGUGGGAACGUACCCUUUGCUACGGAAUAGCCCUGGGAAACUGGGAGUAAUACCGUAUGAGCCCGAGAGGGGAAAGAUUUAUCGGCAAAGGAUCGGCCCGCGUUGGAUUAGGUAGUUGGUGGGGUAAUGGCCUACCAAGCCGACGAUCCAUAGCUGGUUUGAGAGGAUGAUCAGCCACACUGGGACUGAGACACGGCCCAGACUCCUACGGGAGGCAGCAGUGGGGAAUCUUAGACAAUGGGGGAAACCCUGAUCUAGCCAUGCCGCGUGAUCGAUGAAGGCCUUAGGGUUGUAAAGAUCUUUCAGGUGGGAAGAUAAUGACUGUACCACCAGAAGAAGCCCCGGCUAACUCCGUG